rnacentral:lncRNA from 1 species
CCUCUCAUACUCAUCAUCUUGCCUACCAUAACCAGGCCUCCUAGGUGGAUCAUCACCAUAACUUGGCCUCUCAUAUUCAGUCCUCUCUCCGUACCCUCCUUCCUCCCCAUAACUUGGCUUCCUCCCGUACCCGCCUCCAUACUCCGAACCACCACCACCUCCAUACUCAGUCUCGGGUCUCCCUCCAUACCCAGAUCCGUACUCAGCCUCGGGUCUCCGGCCAUACCCACCAGAUCCAUAUUCAGAUUCUUGUUUCCUUCCAUACCCAGAUCCAUAUUCCUCACUUGAUGGCCUUUCAUAUCCACCACCAGAUCCAUAUUCUGACUCCGGUCUCCGGCCAUAACCACCAGAGCCAUAUUCAGAAUCCUGUUUCCUGCCAUGUCCAGAUCCAUAAUCCUCACCAGAUGGCCUCUCAUACUCGGUUCCUCCGCCAUAUCCACCAGACCCAUAUUCUGAAUCAGGUCUCCGACCAUAACCCGAUGGCUUCUCAUACUCACUUACACCACCAUACCCACCAGAUCCAGGCUGGAAUCCAGGAGCAGCGUGAGGCCUAGAAUACGGAUCCCCACCAAUACCACC